GCCCGCAUAGCUCAGUCGGUAGAGCAUCAGACUUUUAAUCUGAGGGUCGCGGGUUCAAGUCCCGCUGCGGGCG
rnacentral:tRNA from 1 species